rnacentral:tRNA from 1 species
UCUCUGAUAGUAUAUCGGUUAGUACACGCACCUGUCAUUUUCAUCCAAAUCCACAUCUAUGAGCGCGCGAAAGCUGGGUUCGACUCCCAGUCAGAGAG